rnacentral:lncRNA from 1 species
AGACAAUGGCCUGCAAGAGAAAGGAAGAAUACAAAAUGGAAGCCUGGGAUAGAGAUCAUCUCCUAGGAAAGGGGGAGGCCACCCAAGGCCUGUCAGGGGGAGGGCUCCACUUCUCAGCCCAUCUGCACAGCACUGGCUCCUUCUUAGUCCCAUGGAAGCACAGAUCAACAUCAUUGCCCUUGCAAACUUCUCUCAGCUUAGGAGAGUCUACUCGCUCUUUGCACAUUGUUGACAUGAAAUGAAUAUUAAACACCAAACCUCAUAGAGGCCAGCCCUGCUGGGCGAGCAAUGA